rnacentral:sRNA from 1 species
GCCAGGUGGGGUGGUGCACACCUGUAAUCCCAGUGGCUCAGGAGGCUGAGGCAGGAUCACAGGCUCCAAGCCAGCCUCAGCAACUUUGCAAGGCUGUAAGCAACCUAGUGAGACCCUGUCUCAA